GUGGGGAAUCUUGCGCAAUGGGGGCAACCCUGACGCAGCAACGCCGCGUGGGUGAUGAAGGUCUUCGGAUUGUAAAACCCUGUCACAAGGGACGAAAUAUAGUUGGUUUAACAGACCAGUUAUUUGACGGUACCUUGAGAGGAAACCCCGGCUAACUCCGUGCCAGCAGCCGCGGUAAUACGGAGGGGGUAAGCGUUGUUCGGAAUUACUGGGCGUAAAGAGCACGUAGGCGGUCGUGCAAGUCGUGUGUGAAAUCCCUCGGCUUAACCGAGGAAUUGCGCUCGAAACUACAUGACUAGAGUACAGGAGAGGAGAGUGGAAUUCCCAAUGUAGCGGUGGAAUGCGUAGAUAUUGGGAGGAACACCGGUGGCGAAGGCGUCUCUCUGGACUGAUACUGACGCUGAGGUGCGAAAGCUAGGGGAGCAAACGGGAUUAGAUACCCCUGUAGUCC
rnacentral:rRNA from 1 species